rnacentral:misc_RNA from 1 species
AACGCACAUUGCGCCCCUUGGUAUUCCGAGGGGCAUGCCUGUUCGAGCGUCAUUGUAAAAUCUCAAGCUUUCUGCUUGGUGUUGGGUCUUCAUCCCUCCCCCAUGAAAGGGGGGUGGAUGUGCCUGAAAAUCAGUGGCGGUGCCACGAUGGUCUCAAGCGUAGUAGACUCUCUCUCGCUUUGGAUGGCCUUGUCGUGCAGCUCACCAGCCUCAUCAUAGAUGAACUUCUGAAAAGGUUUGACCUCGGAUCAGGUAGGGAUACCCGCUGAACUUAA